rnacentral:rRNA from 1 species
AUUGAACGCUGGCGGCAGGCCUAACACAUGCAAGUCGAACGAGUGGCGGACGGGUGAGUAAUGUCUGGGCAUCUGCCCGAUGGAGGGGGAUAACUACUGGAAACGGUAGCUAAUACCGCAUACCAUCGGAUGAGCCCAGAUGGGAUUAGCUAGUAGGUGGGGUAACGGCUCACCUAGGAGACGAUCUCUAGCUGGUCUGAGAGGAUGAUCAGCCACACUGGGACUGAGACACGGCCCAGACUCCUACGGGAGGCAGCAGUGGGGAAUAUUGCACAAUGGGCGCAAGCCUGAUGCAGCCAUGCCGCGUGUAUGAAGAAGGCCUUAGGGUUGUAAAGUACUUUCAGCGGGGAGGCGUUGCCCGCAGAAGAAGCACCGGCUAACUCCGUGCCAGCAGCCGCGGUAAUUC